UACAGAGGGUGCAAGCGUUAAUCGGAAUUACUGGGCGUAAAGCGUGCGUAGUCGGUUAUCUAAGUCGGGUGUGAAAUCCCCGGGCUCAACCUGGGAAUUGCAUUCGAUACUGGAUAGCUAGAGUUCGGCAGAGGGAAGCGGAAUUUCCGGUGUAGCGGUGGAAUGCGUAGAUAUCGGAAGGAACAUCAGUGGCGAAAGCGGCUUCCUGGACCAGAACUGACGAUCAGGCACGAAAGCGUGGGGAGCAAACAGG
rnacentral:rRNA from 1 species